UUUCGGGGUACACGAGCGGCGAACGGGUGAGUAACACGUGGGUGAUCUGCCCUGCACUUCGGGAUAAGCCUGGGAAACUGGGUCUAAUACCGGAUAUGACCUCCUAUCGCAUGGUGGGUGGUGGAAAGAUUUAUCGGUGCAGGAUGGGCCCGCGGCCUAUCAGCUUGUUGGUGGGGUAAUGGCCUACCAAGGCGACGACGGGUAGCCGACCUGAGAGGGUGACCGGCCACACUGGGACUGAGACACGGCCCAGACUCCUACGGGAGGCAGCAGUGGGGAAUAUUGCACAAUGGGCGAAAGCCUGAUGCAGCGACGCCGCGUGAGGGAUGACGGCCUUCGGGUUGUAAACCUCUUUCAGCAGGGACGAAGCGCAAGUGACGGUACCUGCAGAAGAAGCACCGGCUAACUACGUGCCAGCAGCCGCGGUAAUACGUAGGGUGCAAGCGUUGUCCGGAAUUACUGGGCGUAAAGAGUUCGUAGGCGGUUUGUCGCGUCGUUUGUGAAAACCAGCAGCUCAACUGCUGGCUUGCAGGCGAUACGGGCAGACUUGAGUACUGCAGGGGAGACUGGAAUUCCUGGUGUAGCGGUGAAAUGCGCAGAUAUCAGGAGGAACACCGGUGGCGAAGGCGGGUCUCUGGGCAGUAACUGACGCUGAGGAACGAAAGCGUGGGUAGCGAACAGGAUUAGAUACCCUGGUAGUCCAC
rnacentral:rRNA from 1 species